AUACGGAGGGUGCAAGCGUUGUUCGGAAUCACUGGGCGUAAAGGGCGCGCAGGCGGUUUGGUAAGUCAGAUGUGAAAGCCCACGGCUCAACCGUGGACGUGCAUUUGAAACUGUCAGACUUGAGUACUAGAGGGGAAAGUGGAAUUCCCGGUGUAGAGGUGAAAUUCGUAGAUAUCGGGAGGAAUACCGGUGGCGAAGGCGACUUUCUGGCUAGAUACUGACGCUGAGGCGCGAAAGCGUGGGGAGCAAACAGGAUUAGAAACCCUAGUAGUCC
rnacentral:rRNA from 1 species